rnacentral:rRNA from 1 species
AUACAGAGGGUGCAAGCGUUAAUCGGAUUUACUGGGCGUAAAGCGCGCGUAGGUGGCUAAUUAAGUCAAAUGUGAAAUCCCCGAGCUUAACUUGGGAAUUGCAUUCGAUACUGGUUAGCUAGAGUAUGGGAGAGGAUGGUAGAAUUCCAGGUGUAGCGGUGAAAUGCGUAGAGAUCUGGAGGAAUACCGAUAGCGAAGGCAGCCAUCUGGCCUAAUACUGACACUGAGGUGCGAAAGCAUGGGGAGCAAACAGGAUUAGAUACCCUGGUAGUCCAUGCCGUAAACGAUGUCUACUAGCCGUUGGGGCCCUUGAGGCUUUAGUGGCGCAGCUAACGCGAUAAGUAGACCGCCUGGGGAGUACGGUCGCAAGACUAAAACUCAAAUGAAUUGACGGGG